AGUGAACGCUGGCGGUAGGCCUAACACAUGCAAGUCGAACGGCAGCACAGUAAGAGCUUGCUCUUACGGGUGGCGAGUGGCGGACGGGUGAGGAAUACAUCGGAAUCUACUUUUUCGUGGGGGAUAACGUAGGGAAACUUACGCUAAUACCGCAUACGACCUACGGGUGAAAGCAGGGGAUCUUCGGACCUUGCGCGAUUGAAUGAGCCGAUGUCGGAUUAGCUAGUUGGCGGGGUAAAGGCCCACCAAGGCGACGAUCCGUAGCUGGUCUGAGAGGAUGAAUCGGCAAAACGGAAAUGAGAACACGUUCCGAACUCCAAGGGAGGCCACAGUGGGGAAUAUUGGACCAAGGGGGGAAGCCUGAUCCAGGCCAUACCGGUGGGUUAAGGAGGGCUUUCGGUUUGUAAGGCCCUUUGUUGGGAAAAAAAAGCCGCCGGGUAAUUACCCGGUGUUUCGGCCGUAACCCAAGGAUAAGGCACGGCCAAACUUGUG
rnacentral:rRNA from 1 species